GGAAGGAGCAGCGGCCCCGGCGGGGCGGAGCGGGGCCGUACCACCGGCGGGGGAGCGCCGCGCCAGCUCCAGCCCCGCAGCCCCGGCGGUGGGCGGUGCAGGUGGAGCUGCGGGUGGGGACUGAGCCCUUGGCAGCUCCACACGCUGCAGCCGCCAUGGAGCUGCUCCCGGUGCUGCUGGCUGCUGCUCUGCUACCGCUCCUGCCCCGUGAGUACCCCCGGGACAGCCCCAGGAGGUGGAAAGGUCGGGUGCCGUCCAUGCUGGAGGCAAAGGCUGAGUACAGCCGUGCUGGGUGGGAUGUGUGAGGGAUGCAGUGCCCCUAAACCCUGUCUCCCUCAGCUGGCAGGGCAGCUGUGCCGCUGCCUACCCUGACGCGGCCGCUGAGCAUGGUACUGGCUGGGCAGCGCCGGCAGCUGGUGGUGUGUGUGGUGAGCGACCUGGCCCCCAGCUCUGGCCACGGUGUCUGGAUCUCCGGUGGGAAUGGUAGCGUCCUGCAGUCCUUUGCCUAUGGGGCCUCCCAGGAGGAUGGUGGCACCGUCUGCUCCGUCUCCCUCCUUUCCAGUGACAGUGACCCCCCACGCGAGAGGGAACUUGCCUGCCAUGUGGGGGCCAACAGGACCUCCCCAUCCCACAGCUCCAGCCCCAUCCGCAUCACGGGCAAUGAGGAGGCAGCAGAGCUGUGUAGCACAGCUGGUGAGUCUCUGGCCCCUGCCUGGUGGGAACAUCAGGUGCCAGGGUGAAAGCCCUGGCAGUGGCUAUGUGGUGGUUGGGAUGGGCUUUUCCACAGUGUAGUGGGACUGGGGAAGAGGAAGGGAAGCUUCACCUUGCUGGG
rnacentral:lncRNA from 13 species